rnacentral:lncRNA from 1 species
CUUUGGGCAAGUUAUUUAACCUCUCUAUGCCUCAACUUCUUCAUGUAAAAUGGCAGUAAUAAUAAUACGAAUGCCACAGAGCUGUGGAUGAAAUGAGCCCAUUCCGGUCUGGCUUCUUUAACCAGGAAGAUGUGAGCUGAGAGCUGUGGAGUAGAUGUCUUCACCAGAUGAGUACACAGAGAAGUAGAGAAUGUGUAUCUGCAGAGUAGGAUGAAGCAGAGACAAGUCUUGUGAAUAAGGUAUUCAGGAAGCACAGCUGUCUUUUGUUCCUGAAGCCGUAUCAGGAUUCAGCAGGAAAGAGCACCAAGAUCACUUGGCAAUGUUUAUCCUGAUCAAGCACGGGCACUGAUGGCAGGCAUUUCAGCUGCUCCUAUUUCUUUCUUUUUGGACUCUUCUGGAAAAACAGAGAAAUCAAACAGGAAGCUGCUGCUGGGGAGUUCUGUGUUGGAUAGGAUAGUGUGGCCAGGCUCACUGUUCUACUACCUCAAACCCCAAGGUUUCAGCAUGACUCAGGGGGUGCAAACUCCAAAAGGUCUAACUUGGAAUGUGACUUAGGAACUCUGGCCAGUCACCCUUGCUCAGAUCUGAAACUGGGAAAAUUUCAAAACCCAAAACCUUGCAUAAUCAGAAAGAAUAAAUCCCUAUAAGGAAGAGAAACACAAUGGAAAAUUCCACUGGAGAUAUCUGAAAUUGCCUGACUCUUUGUGUCAGCAAUUGGGAGGUCAGAUGGGGUCAGAUGGCCACAAAGAGUACACAGUUGGACAAGAUCUAUCCUUCUAGGAAAUGAAUUCCUGGAGGGUACUUCUGGUCAUUAAAAGUUGCUUGAAAACUGUAGAAACUAAGACCCAGUGUUGUGUUUGUGUGUGUAUGUGCAGUGGCGCAAUCAUAGCUCACUGUCACCUAUUAUUCCUGGGCUCAAGCGAUCCUU